UACGGAGGAUGCAAGCGUUAUCCGGAAUGAUUGGGCGUAAAGCGUCCGCAGGUGGCUAUGUAAGUCUGCUGUUAAAGAGUGAGGCUCAACCUCAUAAGAGCAGUGGAAACUACAUGGCUAGAGUGCGUUCGGGGCAGAGGGAAUUCCUGGUGUAGCGGUGAAAUGCGUAGAGGUCAGGAAGAACACCGGUGGCGAAAGCGCUCUGCUAGGCCGCAACUGACACUCAUGGACGAAAGCUAGGGGAGCGAAUGGG
rnacentral:rRNA from 1 species